rnacentral:rRNA from 1 species
UGAGGAAUAUUGGGCAAUGGACGAAAGUCUGACCCAGCAACGCCGCGUGGAGGAUGAAGGUCGUAAGAUCGUAAACUCCUUUUUAUUGGGAAGAAAAAACGGGUUUGUAGCCCGUAUUGACUGUACCUUUAGA